GCAGGAGCCAAAAACGAUGG
rnacentral:siRNA from 1 species